rnacentral:rRNA from 3 species
GAAUGCUGACAUAAGUAACGAUAAAGCGGGUGAAAAGCCCGCUCGCCGGAAGACCAAGGGUUCCUGUCCAACGUUAAUCGGGGCAGGGUGAGUCGACCCCUAAGGCGAGGCCGAAAGGCGUAGUCGAUGGGAAACGGGUUAAUAUUCCCGUACUUGGUGUUACUGCGAAGGGGGGACGGAGAAGGCUAUGUUGGCCGGGCGACGGUUGUCCCGGUUUAAGCGUGUAGGUGUGUGUUCCAGGUAAAUCCGGUUCACUUUAACACUGAGGCGUGACGACGAGGCACUACGGUGCUGAAGCAACAAAUGCCCUGCUUCCAGGAAAAGCCUCUAAGCAUCAGGUAACAUCAAAUCGUACCCCAAACCGACACAGGUGGUCAGGUAGAGAAUACCAAGGCGCUUGAGAGAACUCGGGUGAAGGAACUAGGCAAAAUGGUGCCGUAACUUCGGGAGAAGGCACGCUGACACGUAGGUGAAGUGAUUUACUCAUGGAGCUGAAGUCAGUCGAAGAUACCAGCUGGCUGCAACUGUUUAUUAAAAACACAGCACUGUGCAAACACGAAAGUGGACGUAUACGGUGUGACGCCUGCCCGGUGCCGGAAGGUUAAUUGAUGGGGUCAGCGCAAGCGAAGCUCCUGAUCGAAGCCCCGGUAAACGGCGGCCGUAACUAUAACGGUCCUAAGGUAGCGAAAUUCCUUGUCGGGUAAGUUCCGACCUGCACGAAUGGCGUAAUGAUGGCCAGGCUGUCUCCACCCGAGACUCAGUGAAAUUGAACUCGCUGUGAAGAUGCAGUGUACCCGCGGCAAGACGGAAAGACCCCGUGAACCUUUACUAUAGCUUGACACUGAACAUUGAGCCUUGAUGUGUAGGAUAGGUGGGAGGCUUUGAAGUGUGGACGCCAGUCUGCAUGGAGCCGACCUUGAAAUACCACCCUUUAAUGUUUGAUGUUCUAACGUGGACCCGUUACCCGGGUUGCGGACAGUGUCUGGUGGGUAGUUUGACUGGGGCGGUCUCCUCCUAAAGAGUAACGGAGGAGCACGAAGGUUGGCUAAUCCUGGUCGGACAUCAGGAGGUUAGUGCAAUGGCAUAAGCCAGCUUGACUGCGAGCGUGACGGCGCGAGCAGGUGCGAAAGCAGGUCAUAGUGAUCCGGUGGUUCUGAAUGGAAGGGCCAUCGCUCAACGGAUAAAAGGUACUCCGGGGAUAACAGGCUGAUACCGCCCAAGAGUUCAUAUCGACGGCGGUGUUUGGCACCUCGAUGUCGGCUCAUCACAUCCUGGGGCUGAAGUAGGUCCCAAGGGUAUGGCUGUUCGCCAUUUAAAGUGGUACGCGAGCUGGGUUUAGAACGUCGUGAGACAGUUCGGUCCCUAUCUGCCGUGGGCGCUGGAGAACUGAGGGGGGCUGCUCCUAGUACGAGAGGACCGGAGUGGACGCAUCACUGGUGUUCGGGUUGUCAUGCCAAUGGCACUGCCCGGUAGCUAAAUGCGGAAGAGAUAAGUGCUGAAAGCAUCUAAGCACGAAACUUGCCCCGAGAUGAGUUCUCCCUGAGACUUAAA